UACGUAGGGCGCAAGCGUUGUCCGGAAUUAUUGGGCGUAAAGAGCUCGUAGGCGGCCUGUUGCGUCCGCUGUGAAAUCCCGGGGCUCAACCCCGGGCGUGCAGUGGAUACGGGCUGGCUGGAGGCAGGCAGGGGAGAACGGAAUUCCUGGUGUAGCGGUGAAAUGCGCAGAUAUCAGGAGGAACACCGGUGGCGAAGGCGGUUCUCUGGGCCUUACCUGACGCUGAGGAGCGAAAGCGUGGGGAGCGAACAGG
rnacentral:rRNA from 1 species